rnacentral:lncRNA from 1 species
CCCGGCGUCCCGCCUGGGCGAGCCGGCCGAGACAUGGGCGCUGGGCAAGCCGGCUGGGGUAAACUCCCCACAAACUGGCAGGGACGUAGGAGCCUGACGAUCUGGCUAAGGCAUGAACGUCUGUCGAUCUCGCUGCGCGUGGAAGCACGAAGAUCCGGUGGAGCAUGACGUGGGAUGGGAACCUGACGAGCCAACCGAGGCAAGGAAACCUCGAGCCAGCUAGGACGUGGAAGCCCGACGAGCUGGCUUGGGCACCCUCGGUUCCAUCGGUGGCGGAAUCCAAGCCCGACGUCACCAACAAAACAACAAAACUUCUGGGCCGGCUGGGCAAACAAGACCUGACGAUCCGGCUGAGGCCCGACUUGGGAUGGGCGCCUUCCGAGCCAACCGGGGAAAGGAAACCUCUCGAGCUGGCUAGGCACCCCCGGUUCCAUCGGCAGCGACCCAGGACCAAGGUCACCACCAACUGGAACGCCAGUACUCCCCGAUGCUUCGUGUGUUGGCUGCUGCAUUCUGUAAGGAAUGACGCUGGAGAAUAGAAGCAGGUACAGGGAGUUGACAUUUAAUUAGGAAUGGACAUGCAACAGGACAGGAACAGCGUCAGAACUGGGAAACACAAAGACAGACGACAAACAAUGCAGCAGUGGGGAACAGAGCUGGGGAACUGACAAAUAUAGGGGAGGUAAUAAACAGGAGAUUGAGUGAGUCCAGAAUUCUAAUGAUGACCCGCCUCAGUGUAGCCCUCCAUACUACAGUGCCAGUAUCUAUUCCACGCUGAGGGAGUGGGGAUACUGACUGUCAACUGUGAGAUGUGGACACGCCCCGACAGCCCCUCACCUACAGCAUUGUGGGAGGGAACACUAACCGCAGAUUUACCAUGGAUGGAGCACAGCUGGUGUCCAGUGCCCAGUUCUCCUAUGGCACCCCAUGGUUUAUGAGCUGCUGGUCAGGGUUCAGGACCAUGGCAUGUCUGUAUGCUCCACUACUGCUACUGUCAUUGCCAAUGUGGUUCCCUGGACCACAACUCGACCAACAUCCAUCACCACCACCACGAUCAAGAGCCUUUGGUAGGACCCCAUCCUUGAAACAUCCUGCAGAGCAGCAGUCUUCUCCUCUGGCACACGACGGCGAGCUGCAGAUCCCUUCCUGGUCCUCGUGUCCAUUCUUAUGAAGUUAUGAGGGACACAGGUAGCCUUCACACCCCUGAAUUCCUCCAGGAGGCAGUCCCAGGUGGCCCUGGUCACCCAACCUUGCAGUGCCCUACACGUUAACAGUGGGCAAUCGUUUUGAAGGAAUCUCCAAUUACAAGCAGGUCAGCCACCAGGGGGAGACUCGUCGAGGCCUGGUGACAGACGGUGUAUACAUCACGAGGCGAUGGCUCCAUCUGCUGGACGUGCCAGGUCUCGACGGGUUCUCCGGCCAGGACUAAUUGGGGCUGAUUGGGAGUUGGAUACAGCAAGACCCGGAGCCC